AGGCCCUUUCGGGGGUACACGAGCGGCGAACGGGUGAGUAACACGUGAGCAAUCUGCCCCUGUCUCUGGGAUAACCACUGGAAACGGUGGCUAAUACCGGAUAUGACCACUUUCCGCAUGGUUGGUGGUGGAAAGGUCCGCCGGACAGGGAUGAGCUCGCGGCCUAUCAGCUUGUUGGUGGGGUAAUGGCCUACCAAGGCGACGACGGGUAGCCGGCCUGAGAGGGUGACCGGCCACACUGGGACUGAGACACGGCCCAGACUCCUACGGGAGGCAGCAGUGGGGAAUAUUGGACAAUGGGCGAAAGCCUGAUCCAGCAACGCCGCGUGAGGGAUGACGGCCUUCGGGUUGUAAACCUCUUUCAGCAGGGACGAAGCGAAAGUGACGGUACCUGCAGAAGAAGGACCGGCCAACUACGUGCCAGCAGCCGCGGUAAUACGUAGGGUCCGAGCGUUGUCCGGAAUUAUUGGGCGUAAAGGGCUCGUAGGCGGUUUGUCACGUCGGGAGUGAAAACUCAGGGCUUAACCCUGAGCGUGCUUCCGAUACGGGCUGACUAGAGGGAUGCAGGGGAGAACGGAAUUCCUGGUGUAGCGGUGGAAUGCGCAGAUAUCAGGAGGAACACCGGUGGCGAAGGCGGUUCUCUGGGCAUUUCCUGACGCUGAGGAGCGAAAGCAUGGGGAGCGAACAGGAUUAGAUACCCUGGUAGUCCAUGCCGUAAACGUUGGGCGCUAGGUGUGGGGACCUUCCACGGUUUCCGUGCCGCAGCUAACGCAUUAAGCGCCCCGCCUGGGGAGUACGGCCGCAAGGCUAAAACUCAAAGGAAUUGACG
rnacentral:rRNA from 1 species